rnacentral:rRNA from 1 species
CCUACGGGAGGCAGCAGUGGGGGAUAUUGCACAAUGGGGGAAACCCUGAUGCAGCGACGCCGCGUGAGUGAAGAAGUAUUUCGGUAUGUAAAGCUCUAUCAGCAGGGACGAAAAUGACAGUACCUGACCAAGAAGCCCCGGCUAAUUACGUGCCAGCAGCCGCGGUAUUACGUAGGGGGCAAGCGUUAACCGGAUUUACUGGGUGUAAAGGGAGCGUAGACGGUUAUGUAAGUCUGGAGGGAAAGCCCGGGGGCCAACCCCGGGACUGCUUUGGAAACUGUGUGACUGGAGUACAGGAGGGGGAGGCGGAAUUCCAGGUGUAGCGGUGAAAUGCGUAGAGAUCAGGAGGAACACCGGCGGCGAAGGCGGCCUGCUGGACUAAAACUGACGUUGAGGCGCGAAAGCGUGGGGAGCAAACAGGAUUAGAUACCCCUGUAGUC